GUGGGGAAUAUUGGACAAUGGGCGAAAGCCUGAUCCAGCCAUGCCGCGUGUGUGAAGAAGGUCUUCGGAUUGUAAAGCACUUUAAGUUGGGAGGAAGGGCAGUAAGUUAAUACCUUGCUGUUUUGACGUUACCAACAGAAUAAGCACCGGCUAACUUCGUGCCAGCAGCCGCGGUAAUACGAAGGGUGCAAGCGUUAAUCGGAAUUACUGGGCGUAAAGCGCGCGUAGGUGGUUUUGUAAGUUGGAGGUGAAAUCCCCGGGCUCAACCUGGGAACUGCCUCCAAAACUGCAUGACUAGAGUACGGUAGAGGGUAGUGGAAUUUCCUGUGUAGCGGUGAAAUGCUUAGAUAUAGGAAGGAACACCAGUGGCGAAGGCGACUACCUGGACUGAUACUGACACUGAGGUGCGAAAGCGUGGGGAGCAAACAGGAUUAGAAACCCUGGUAGUCC
rnacentral:rRNA from 1 species